rnacentral:lncRNA from 1 species
GUUUUUUUUUUUUUUUUUUUAAAAAGAAUAGGUAGCACGCUACCUGCUUCGUUUAUUUUAUUUAGAAAUAAAUUUAGCUGAAAAUGUGAAUCAACUAGAAUUCGAACUUAGGUCUCGGGUACCAACCAUCAAGUCCUUUGCCACUUGCUCUAGAGACGAUCGAUCCAACUUCCAGACUGUUGUUUUCAAUUUAGCAGACUUCGUGUACCAUCAUCAUGCUCAUUAAAUAAAUUAUUUAAAAACAGGUAAAUUACAUAAAUUGGUUCUCAAAUUAUGAGGUGGAUAAUAUUUUUUAGUGCUUAUAUUUUAAUAUUUUAUAAUUUUUUAUUUAAAAUUUUAAGAUUGUUGUAAUUAAGUGUCAUAAUUCAAACAAUAAUAUGGUAAAUUAUACUGAGUAAUGUGUCAAUAAUUAGUCUUCUAAAUAAGAUGGUGGGGCUUAAUUACAAUAAUUCUAAAAAAAUGAGUCAAAAAUUAUAAUAUAUGAAAGUUUGAGGACCCAUAUGUCACUCACUUUAUAGUUUGAGGGCCUAGCAAGCAAUUUACCUGCUCAUUUUGUUUAGGACCGUUCAUAGAAGUGAGCUACAAUACAAGGGCAUUUUGUUUAGGAUAUUUUAUUUUAUUUUAUUUUAUUUUUACUUUUGAGAAGGAAGAUAGUAAAAUAUACACUCUGUUCAUUUUUUUUUUAAAAAAAACUUAAUUAUUAUCUUUUUUUUUUUGCUAAGUACAUUAAGAUAAAUCGCUUCAUAAGUUUAAUAUGAUAUUUUAUUAAUUAAAUUAAGAUAAGUUUCAAGUUGUUUUCUCAAAAUAAGAUAAGUAAAUUAAAUAUGAUAUUUUAUUAAUUAAACUAUAGAUAGGAAGACUUUUAAAGGAGUACUUAAAAAAACAAAAAAAAAGGGUUAAUUUCAUAGGUGCCCUCACACCAACCCCUAAUUACAUGGAUGCCCUCCAAAAAUUUUUAAUAUCAAAAAUACCCUUCAAAUUUAGUAAAAUUAUCAAAACUACCCUUAUUACCUAUAUUUUUAAAAAAAUAUGGCUAAAAUACCUAUUUUACCCCUCUUACUCUUACAACUAUUAUAAUAUAUAUUUUAUUACCAAGAUAAUAUACUUUUACUAUAAGUAUUUUUCUAGUUUAAUUUAAUUAAUUUAAUAUGUCUUCAUUUUAACUAGUUUAAUAUGUCUAUAUUUUAUUUCAUUUAACUAGUAUAUAUUCAUUUUAUUUGUUUAAUUACAAAUGGAAUAAUUAGAUACUUUUUGUUAGAUUUAUUUAAAGAUUUUUAUAUUAUUUUAGACGUAGUUUGAAAAUUCUUUAUUGUAGCUUUAAUUUAUAUUACUAUGAGUUUUUUUCAUAUUUGUCUUUUUAUAGUUUACUUUGAUUAUUUUUUAAAUCUUUAUAUUAUCUAUAUAUCCUCUAUUAAUCCCCGUGUUAGACAUCCACGUGUCAUCCCAUUCUUAAUUUUGUACACGUGGCCCGUCAUGGGUCCCACCUGCUACCAAGCCGGUUCGAUCCCGCUACCCCGCCUCUUCGAUCCCUGCUACUCCCGCCUCUUCAAUGGCGCCUCCGUUUCGAUCCCGGUUGCUCCUCUAUCUCUCCUCUCCUCUCCUCUCCUCUCCUCUCCGACCCUUUCCUUCGUUCCCCUUCGUCCCCUCGACCUCUCCCCUCCCCCGAAACCCUAGCUCUCUCGAUCGUGGCGGGUGGGGUGCAGCCAUGAAGCUUGCGGGGCUCAGAUCGGUGGAGAACGCCCACGACGAGUCGAUCUGGGCGGCGACGUGGGUCCCUGCCACCGACUCCCACCCCGCGCUUCUCCUCACGGGCCCACUUGACGAGAUCGUGAGGCUCUGGCGCCCGACGAGCUCGCUGCGGCGGUGCCACCCUCGCACGGCCGCGUCCUCGGCGUCGUCGCCGCCGCCGCCCACCCCUCCAGCUCCCUCGCCGCCGCCGCCUCCCUCGACAGCUCCGUCCGCGUCGAGGGAGGCGACGGAGCUUCGACGUCGACUCCAACGCCUCCGUCGCCUCCCUCGACGCCCUCCCUCCCUCCCCCCCGAGGUCUGGGGCUUGCAGUUCGACCCCAAGGUAACGCCACCUUUAGAUAUCUGUUUCUUUGGAUUGCAAAAAAGCACAAAUCCAAUAUUUAAUUAGUUUUUAUUAUUCUUUCGAUCUGGCAUGGCGGUGGCGGCGGCGAUGCCGGCGCCGGCACCGCCCGCGGAUUCUUUAGAUUACUGGCGGAAGUUCUUCCGCAGCGCGGCGAACGCCGGCAUCUUCCGGGUGAUCGAGAAGGCGAUCGCGGUCGCCGCCGCAGACUCUCCCGACGAGCUCCGCGCCUGGCGCGCCCGGAUCGCCGAGGCGCUCUACGUCUGCCUCGCGUGCACGUGUUCUACCCGCCGCCUACAUAAUCAUCAUAAUCAAGAAGAAGCCGAUCAAAAGGAAGAGGAGGAGGAGGAUGAUCGCCGUGUGGGGAGCAAUUUGAGCUACGAUGAGGCGGAGGCGCUCACGGAGAGAUCGAGGAGGAGAGCCACACGCUCGGAGAGGUUUUGAGAAUCAAGGUCGUUCUCAGCACCGGCCGGGAGCAGGUCUGGGGCNAACCACAUGACACUAAUUGAUAUACUUUAAACCAUAAGGGCCUAAAGUGAGAAAGUGUGAAACCGCAUGGGUGGUAUUUAAAGUUUUUCCUUAUAUAUCAUUUUUAAUCGGCUAUCCAAUUGUUUAAAAUUUUGAUUUUAUUACUCAAUUUUUCAAUUUGUUUAAAUGAAUAAGUUAAUGACAUUUUGAAUUGUUCAUAGUUUAAAAGUUGUACUUACAAAAGUUUAGUUUUGGACCAUCAUGUUAUAUCAUAAUAGUAUAAGCACUGUGCUGUGAAAUAAUAUAGCCGGUAACUUAAUUGGGUAACGGGUUCGUCUACCGCCCAUCACCAGUCAACCGGUUCGGGCGGACCCGCGGUUAGCUGUCAUUGGGUGGACGGUGGGGAUACCGGGAGUGGCCGGUGAAACAAACGGCAUCGCGGCGACGUGGCGUGUACGCAUUGGUCGUUGCCCCCGCAAGGUCUUAUCCCGGGGAAUAAGUGUUCUUUUUUUUUUUUACUUUUUUUUUAUUUUUUGGUUUUUAGCCGAAUAGGUGUUCGCGGCGCGGGGUAGUUACUGGGUACGUGGGAAUAGUGGGGGGUCUCUAUCCCGGGAUGCGAAUAUUCGGGGGAUAUUUUGGGGGAUAAUUUGGGCGGAGCAUUGGAAUAUUCUCCGACUUUUAAAUUCCCGCCCCUUGCACGUGACGUCAUCCGCCAUGCCGCGGCAUCCUCCCUUCCAACUUUCAGACUGUUUUUUUUUUUUUUUUUUUUUUUUUUUUGAGAGAAAGGUAGCAUGCAACCCUCUUCGUUUAUUUCUUUUAGAAAUAAAUUUAGCUGAAAAUGUAACACAACUAAACUUCAAAUAUGGGACCUCAGAUACCAACCACCAAGCCUUUUGGUAUUUGCACUAGGAACAGUCGGCGAUACAACUGAUCUCUGUAUAAUCUGAUCCGACAUCCAAACAAAGUCCUUAGUUAAAUAUCUUCUCAGAAUAUUUUUCCUUCUAUAUA